rnacentral:rRNA from 1 species
GGAUCCAGACUUUGAUUCUGGCUCAGGAUGAACGCUGGCGGCGUGCUUAACACAUGCAAGUCGAACGAAGCGCUUUUACWGAUUUCUUCCGAAUGAAAUUUUAUUGACUGAGUGGGGGACAGGUGAGUAACGCGUGGGUAACCUGCCCUCACACAGGGGGAUAACAGUUGGAAACGGCUGCUAAUACCGCAUAAACGCACAGUACCGCACGGUACAGUGUGAAAAACUCCGGUGGUGUGAGAUGGACCCCCGUCUGAUUAUCUAGUUGGCAGGGUAACGGCCUACCAAGGCGACGAUCAGUAUCCGACCUGAGAGGGUGACCGGCCCACAUUGGGACUGAGACACGGCCCAAACUCCUACGGGAGGCAGCACUGGGGAAUAUUGCACAAUGGGGGAAACCCUGAUGCACCGACACCCCGUGAGCGAAAAAAUAUUUCGGUAUGUAAAGCUCUAUCACCACGGAAGAAAAAAUGACGGUACCUGAUUAAGAAGCCCCGGCUAAAUACGUGCCAGCAGCCGCGGUAAUACGUAUGGUGCAAGCGUUAUCCGGAUUUACUGGGUGUAAAGGGAGCGCAGGCGGGUAGGCUAAGUCUGAUGUGAAAGCCCGGGGCUCAACCCCGGUACUGCAUUGGAAACUGGCCAACCUAGAGUGUGGGAGGGGUAAGUGGAAUUCCUAGUGUAGCGGUGAAAUGGGUAGAUAUUAGGAGGAACACCAGUGGGGAAGGCGGCUUACUGGUACGGAUUACUGACGUUGAGGCUGGAAAGCGUGGGGAGCAAACAGGAUUAGAUACCCUGGGUAGUCCACGCCGUAAACGAUGAAUAUUAGGUGUCGGGAGGCAUUGCCUUUCGGUGCCGCAGCAAACGCAUUAAGUAUUCCACCUGGGGAGUACGUUCGCAAGAAUGAAACUCAAAGGAAUUGACG